CCUUCGAUAGCUCAGCUUGGAAGAGCGUGGGACUGUAAUGGAUAUCUGCGAUCCCGAGGCCACUGGUUCGAGCCCGGUUCGAAGGA
rfam:Hebeloma cylindrosporum h7 unplaced genomic scaffold scaffold_4, whole genome shotgun sequence.